UACGUAGGGGGCUAGCGUUGUCCGGAAUCAUUGGGCGUAAAGAGCGCGUAGGCGGCCAGAUAAGUCCGCUGUGAAAACUCGAGGCUCAACUUCGAGCUGUCGGCGGAAACUAUCUGGCUAGAGUCCGGAAGAGGAGAGUGGAAUUCCUGGUGUAGCGGUGAAAUGCGCAGAUAUCAGGAAGAACACCCGUGGCGAAGGCGGCUCUCUGGGACGGUACUGACGCUGAGACGCGAAAGCGUGGGGAGCGAACAGG
rnacentral:rRNA from 1 species